rnacentral:rRNA from 1 species
CUAGUCUUAUCGGUGGAUCACUCGGCUCGUGGAUCGAUGAAGAACGCRGCCAACUGCGAUAAUUAGUGCGAACUGCAGAAACCUUGAACACAAAACAUUCGAAUGCACAUUGCGCCAUUGGAGUUACAUCCAUUGGCACGCCUGGUUCAGGGUCGUUA